AGCGAACGCUGGCGGCAGGCUUAACACAUGCAAGUCGAACGGGCAUAGCAAUAUGUCAGUGGCAGACGGGUGAGUAACGCGUGGGAACGUACCUCUUGGUUCGGAACAACACAGGGAAACUUGUGCUAAUACCGGAUAAGCCCUUACGGGGAAAGAUUUAUCGCCGAAAGAUCGGCCCGCGUCUGAUUAGCUAGUUGGUAGGGUAAUGGCCUACCAAGGCGACGAUCAGUAGCUGGUCUGAGAGGAUGAUCAGCCACAUUGGGACUGAGACACGGCCCAAACUCCUACGGGAGGCAGCAGUGGGGAAUAUUGGACAAUGGGCGAAAGCCUGAUCCAGCCAUGCCGCGUGAGUGAUGAAGGCCUAGGGUUGUAAAGCUCUUUUGUGCGGGAAGAUAAUGACGGUACCGCAAGAAUAAGCCCCGGCUAACUUCGUG
rnacentral:rRNA from 1 species